rnacentral:rRNA from 1 species
AUUGAACGCUGGCGGCAGGCCUCACACAUGCAAGUCGAGCGGAGCUGCGGACGGGUGCGUAAUGCCUAGGAAUCUGCCUGGUCGUGGGGGAUAACGUCCGGAAACGGGCGCUCCUACCGCAUACUCUCAGAUGAGACUAGGCCGUAUUAGCUAGUUGGUGGGGUAAAGGCCUACCAAGGCGACGAUCCGUAACUGGUCUGAGAGGAUGAGCAGUCAAACUGGAACUGAGACACGGUCCAGACUCCUACGGGAGGCAGCAGUGGGGAAUAUUGGACAAUGGGCGAAAGCCUGAUCCAGCCAUGCCGCGUGUGUGAAGAAGGUCUUCGGAUUGUAAAGCACUUUAAGUUGGGAGGCGUUACCAACAGAAUAAGCACCGGCUAACUUCGUGCCAGCAGCCGCGGUAAUAC